AGCUUUGCGCAGUGGCAUUACCGUAGCUGAUGAGGUCCAUCCGAGGCGCGGUUAUUGCUGAUUGAAAACUUUUCCCAAUACCCCGCGAGACGACUUGAAACAUAGUCGGCUUUGCAAUUUUUGUGGGCCCUAUUUAGGG
rnacentral:snRNA from 2 species